UCGCGUUAAUGUCAAAUGUUAUAGAUAUUGAAGUUGAAAUGGUGAAAAUUAGUUCCAAGCAAUAUGGCUACAUGAAUAGUAUGAGAAAACAGCUCGCGCCUUUAAAUUGAUUUUUUUGCUAGAAAAGUGCACUUUAAUAAUUAAAAUUAUACUGCAAAACAGAGGUUCGGAUUAAAAAUUGGUUGAUGAGUCUGAAAAGUUAACUUGAAUUCCUGGGAAACUUGCUGCGGACAGAACAGUUUCGAUCGUCCGCAUCCUGCCAUAGCUGCUUAUAGUGGCUUCCGAAGUAUCUACCUAAAGAUUACUGCGGAUGACGACAAAGAUCCUAAAAUUAUCAAGGUGUUCCGGAUUGUGCACCGGAACCAAGGUUCGUCGAUCGCCCGAAAAGUUAAUUUUAACGUGUGAAGUCGAAAUGUGAUGUGAAAAAGUGAAAUGUUGGUUUAGGAGACCUAAAAUGUAAUUUGCAUUUAAAAAAUAAAAGCUAACAAUGUAUGUACUGUA